GGCGAAGGGAGGCAAACAAAGGCAAGUCCCCGAGAGGCGAGCAGGCUGGCACGGAGGCCCUCGCUGCAGGACGUGCGCUGGGCAGAAGCCGAUACCUCCCUGAUUACUGUUCGAUGUGAGGGGUCGUGACUAGUUACACUUUCAUCUGCCGCCCAUCUCUUGCGUCCAUCCUCUUCAGAAGAGUCAGGGAGGAUCAGGCGGGGGGACGCCACGUCACGUGAGAGGGCCUUGCUUGCUGCACCUCCGUGUGAGAGGCAGCUUGUGACAGUGUUUCUUACCGCUAGUCCGUCACGUCCAGCACACGUACAGCACUGCACGCCGCGCACUGCCGCGCCGCCUCUCAGCUGCCAUCGGCAAGAAGGAGGGGGAGAGAGAGAGCGCCAGGAGGCAGGAGAGGUGCUGGAGAAGGGGGAGCAUCAAGACCCCCACACCCCUACCCACCCCAGCCGACGCAGGCUGCUGGUGGAUCUCGAGUGCUAACAGACCACAGAUAGUGUGUGAAGGGGUUGGUGGAGGAUUAAGGGGUAAGAGUACAGACUGGCACCACCACCCACCACCACUCCUCCCCCACCCCAGCCAUACUGUGGCAGAAGCUACUGAGGAGAGAUUCGCUGGCAAAAGGCGCACGGCUGAGAGUUUGGCGAGGUUCCUCGUAAGCGCCAGAUGCUGCUAGCAGGAGCGAAGCGAGUUCUGACAAUGCUCGGGUAAGAGUGAGGGGCGAUGGGAAGACCAGUCACUGACAGUGACACGAGCGCCAACAGUCACAGCCAACGUGAACUGGCAUCAAGAAAAAGGCAGACGGCUGUAUACUUGGCGUGCAGACGAGCUGACGUGAAUGAGACUUGCAUCGCUCAGCCGACCGGACUUUUCCAUUUCCCUCCCAAUGAAGACGACGACACCAUCAUUAGUCUACAACCACCUACUUGCUGCAUGGCGCUUUGGCCACUUCCUUCACUGCUGACGCAAGCAAGUGCGAUGUCCUGUUGCUGUAGCAGCCAGUCAGUCACUCUUUCUUAGUAUCCCAAUCCUGGUGAAGGGGAGAUCACGUCGCUCAGCUUCUUUCCGUGAUCAGAGGAAAUGCUGCCGAGAAUGAACAAGUUUUGCUCUCUGUGGUCAACCCUCACGGCCUCUCAUUUAAAUCCAUUCCCUUGUCCAGAGUCUUCAUCUCGCGGGUGGGUAGACUCGAGCAUGUUUGCCCCCCUUGUCAUGGUCAUUUUGAGCGAGGGCGGUCAGGAAAGGGAGAUAAUUUCCAAGGCGAUUAAAGCUCAUCAAACUGCUACACCAACUGCUCAUUAGUUCAGACGGAACGGGUAACAAUUUAUCACAAUUUUUGUGGUGCAAGCACGGCAAAGAGACGAGCACGGCAAAACAAGACAAAUAAGCUUAAGAAAAACAGAAAAAACAAACCAAAUAAACCAACCAAAGAAGGA